rnacentral:rRNA from 1 species
UACGGAGGGUGCAAGCAUUAAUCGGAUUUAUUGGGCGUAAAGGACGCGUAGGCGGUAAGGUAAGUCGGGUGUGAAAUCCCGGGGCUCAACCCCGGAACAGCACUCGAAACUGCCUUUCUAGAGGGUAGGCGGAGAAAACGGAAUUCCACAAGUAGCGGUGAAAUUCGUAGAUAUGUGGAAGAACACCUGUGGCGAAAGCGGUUUUCUAGCUUAUUUCCUGACGCUGAGGCGUGAAAGCAAGGGGAGCAAACAGG